AGAAGAAGGAGGGGAAACUGUGGUUGAAAUGUAAUAUCUGAGAGAAGAAUUUUAAAAAACGACACUCCACCCUCUGCAAAGAUUCUCCUCAACAACAGUUCUUUCUGAUAGGCUCCUGUAAUUUUCCACCAACAGUUGGUACCCAAGCUUCUUUUAAGCAGACACAACUUUCAUAUGCUCUAAAUGUGGGUAAACCAGUCGCAAAAGCCUUGUACUCUCACGUGUUUGGCUCCAGACAUGGGAAGGUAAAUUAAAAAGAAAUCAGCACUGAAGGAGAGAAUGAGGAAGUCAUAGAGUGCACACACCCAGUCUGGGCCAAGGGUGUGCACUGAAGAUAAGCCAGUCCUACCUGCCUGUCCUGAUGUACCCAGACCUGGAUCCAUGGGGUCUCUCUACAUAACGGAGGCUGUCCUGAGACUCUAAAUAUAGAUGAGGCUGGUCUUGAACUCAUGGAAAUCCACUUGCCUUUGCAUCCUGAGUGCUGGGAUUAAAGGUGGCUGAUGCUCCCAGGAAGAAGAUUCAGAAUCAGCCUCCAAGUGAGGUGUGGAUGUUCUCCAGCAACUGACGAGGACCCAGUAUUACCAAGAGUCCAUGUAUAGUUUUGUUAGUUACAGAAUAUUAACUAGGAUGUUUCCUCCGAGGGUUUUAACUGCAUGGUUUUUGCACAGGUUGGGACUUGAACUGAUUUUCUGAGGAAGCUGUUCAUCAAAGGCGUCUCCAUGAGCUAACCUUGAGUUUGAUUAUUCUCUGCAAUAAUCAAUAAGAGAACAGGACAGAAAAGUUUUUUUUGUUGUUGCUGUUGUUGUUGUUGUUACAAUUUCAGCUUACUAUACUAACUCACAGCCUGUUGUACCACCAGGGUGACCCUUCUGGAGAUUUCAGUACUUAGGUGACCACUGAUCAAACUUUAUACACUUGGAUUGCUUAACAGUGUAGCAACAUGUCCAUUCAAAAUGUUUUUAUUCAUCCAUCCAACUUGAUUGACAUUCAAACCAGCUAGUGACCCGGAGCUGGGAACACUGGCAUGGGAUGCCAGCCUUCCCACCAUCCAGCUCCCAUUGGUUUCCUCAAAUUCCAGUCCUUCCCCAAAGGAACAGAUGGAGCGAGGGUGAGAAUGUAGGAAGUGAUUUUUAAAAAGGUGGGGGAGGGGUGAGCUGAAAAGGGAUGCUAGCUAAGAGAGAACAAAGAGUCCCCAAAAACAUAAUGAUUAACAAACGUACCAUUGGGACCUAGAAUGAGAAGACAGGCCAGGAGUAGGGCAGGGCUGCCAGGGCCAGUUACUCAGAGCACUAUACAGCAAACAGACACCAGAUGAGCAGCCAGGAGUGCAAACACCAGAUCCAAGUUUACUUGUCUUCCUCAUGCCCUGGUGGAGAGACUUUGUCUAUCCCUACAAUCAGGCUUCCUUUACCAAUUCGAAGAAGCAUACAGCACAGUGGGUCUGAGUUUGAUCCCUGGUACCCACAUGAUAGGAGAGAACCAAGUCCUGCAAAUUGUCCUCUGACCCCCCCUCUCUCUCUCUCUCACACACACACACAUUCACAUACUCACACACA